rnacentral:rRNA from 1 species
AUCCAUGCUCGCGGCCUAUCAGCUUGUUGGUGGGGUAACGGCCUACCAAGGCAUCGACGGGUAGCUGGUCUGAGAGGAUGAUCAGCCACACUGGGACUGAGACACGGCCCAGACUCCUACGGGAGGCAGCAGUGGGGAAUCUUGCGCAAUGGGCGAAAGCCUGACGCAGCAACGCCGCGUGCGGGAAGAAAGGCUCUCGGGGGUUGUAAAACCGCUUUUCAGCAGGGAAACGAAAAAUGGACGGGUUACUUGGCCAGGAAGGAAAGGUGGCGGGCCCAAACUAACGUUGCCCAGCAGCCCGCCGGUGACCACCGUUAGGCACCCCAAGCGCGUUGGACCGGGAAUUUUAUUGGGGGCGGUAAAAAAGCUCUCGUAGGCGGGGUUCCGGGUAAAGUCAGGGGGUUGAAAAACUUUUGGGGGCUCCAACCCCAAAAGCCCUGCAUUUCUGAAACUGGCUGUGGGACUAAGGGUUUGGGGAAGGGGGAGGCGGGGGAAUUCCCUAGGGUAACGGGGGGAAAAUGGCCCNAAUUUUUNGGGGGGAACCCCCGNUGGGGGAAAGGGCCCCCCCUUUUGUGGGCCCAAAAAUUUAACCUUAAAAAACCAAAAAACCGGGGGUUCCCAAAAAGGGAUUAAAAANCCCCUGGGGAACCCCCCGCCCCAAAAAAUUUUGGGAAAAAAAGGGGGGGGGGGUUUUNAACCCAACUAAAAUAAAACNCCNGCNCCCCCUUAGGANUAUAAAAAAAGCCCCCCCCCCCCCCGGGGGGGGCGGUGGGGGCCCUUGGGGGAAUUUUUUUUGGGCGCCUCUCUGGGGCCUAUUGGAGAGACCUGUGAGUAUUG